UGGGGGAUAUUGCACAAUGGGCGAAAGCCUGAUGCAGCGACGCCGCGUGGGGGAUGAAGGCUUUCGGGUUGUAAACCUCUUUCGCUAUCGAACAAGGCCCGCUUAGGGUGGGUUGAGGGUAGGUGGAGAAGAAGCGCCGGCUAACUACGUGCCAGCAGCCGCGGUAAUACGUAGGGCGCGAGCGUUGUCCGGAAUUAUUGGGCGUAAAGGGCUUGUAGGCGGCUUGUUGCGCCUGCUGUGAAAACGCGGGGCUUAACUUCGCGCGUGCAGUGGGUACGGGCAGGCUUGAGUGUGGUAGGGGUGACUGGAAUUCCAGGUGUAGCGGUGGAAUGCGAAGAUAUCUGGAGGAACACCGAUGGCGAAGGCAGGUCACUGAGCAAUUACUGACGCUGAGGAGCGAAAGCAUGGGUAGCGAACAGG
rnacentral:rRNA from 1 species